rnacentral:rRNA from 1 species
UACGUAGGGCGCGAGCGUUGUCCGGAAUUAUUGGGCGUAAAGAGCUCGUAGGCGGCUUGUUGCGUCUGCUGUGAAAUCCCGGGGCUUAACCCCGGGCGUGCAGUGGAUACGGGCAGGCUGGAGGCAGGCAGGGGAGAAUGGAAUUCCCGGUGUAGCGGUGAAAUGCGCAGAUAUCGGGAGGAACACCGGUGGCGAAGGCGGUUCUCUGGGCCUGUUCUGACGCUGAGGAGCGAACGCGUGGGGAGCGAACAGG